UACGUAGGGUGCGAGCGUUGUCCGGAAUUACUGGGCGUAAAGAGCUCGUAGGUGGCUUGUCGCGUCUGCCGUGAAAGCCCGUGGCUUAACUACGGGGUCUGCGGUGGAUACGGGCAGGCUAGAGGCUGGUAGGGGCAAGCGGAAUUCCUGGUGUAGCGGUGAAAUGCGCAGAUAUCAGGAGGAACACCGGUGGCGAAGGCGGCUUGCUGGGCCAGUUCUGACGCUGAGGAGCGAAAGCGUGGGGAGCGAACAGG
rnacentral:rRNA from 1 species